rnacentral:sRNA from 1 species
UGUGUUCAGGGACAAGCACAGCCGGCAUGGAUGUCGAGCAGGAUCAACCGCUGGAAGCGGUUUCAUCAGGACGAUGAGUAGGAAAAAAAGGAAGUAGGGAAGGAGGCGGGCGGGGGUUAACCCCCGCCCCUUUUU